UUCAACUGUCAAGUCAACGCCGGGUGGAAUCAGGACUGGAAAGGAUCCAAGGCAACCGUAGCCGUCCUCGGCGAGUUUAUUUAUUUCGGUAUUUUCUAUUUAUUUGCAAUCAGAUUCAAAUACAAUGAUCUAUGUUUGACAACUACCUAUAGUUAUAGUUGAGUACGCUAGUGAAACAACUAUGGAAGCUACUUAAACAUCAAGACUACAAGAAAGAUAACCUCAAAUUAUUAAAGUUCUGUGUUCUGUGUCAGUUUCAAUUAUGUUAUGAGUUGUUAUUUCGUGACUGAGUAUUGACAUAGCCUACAUCUUUUCACGUUUUAAUCCUUAGAGCAUACAAGAUGCUGUGCAGUUUUGGUGGAAGUAACGAUUUGGGUGCAGUGAAGACGACUAAGAAUCCUCCUGACUCCUGACAAAAUUUCUGUCCAGUAGGCCUAUAUAAGUUGGCUGGAGGAAGAAUAAGUUUUUUUAUCUUUUGCAAUCUGCAUGAAGUCAGCUAACUUGCGACUUUUCUGUGAACGUUUUCGAGAGGAGGUCCUCCACCAACAGAAAACGAGGUGGUCCUGCGUUGUGCUGCAGUAAAAAGUUAUAUCUCUCAAAAAAUGUCGCAAUCACAAAAAAAUCCCAACCCUAAUAGGCCUAGUUAAACACUAAUUAUUAAAAACAAAAGUAAACUUUAUUCUGAUUUUUAAAUCAACAUAUUUUAUUUAGCUUGGUUUCAUUUUAAAGAUAUAAUUUUUAUAUUGAGCAAAUUCCUGCUAAACUGAAAUUAUGGGGAUAGAACUGUCACAUACCGUGUCUGUAACUAAUCUUUCGAAUAGUCAGGGUUUGGUGUUUUUUGUUAUUGAAACCCAUUUGUUUGUUUUAUGAAUCAAAGUACGUAGUUACUAUAGGCCCUAACAGUGCAAUCUUGGUCACAUAUUUAUCUUUUUGCUACAUUUGUUACUAUUUUACUGAUAAAAGUUUAGAAAUUUGUCUCUAGAAUUUUUUUCUGCCUAUAUCAUCACAAGUUUAUGUCUGUGUAAGGGUCAACAUGUUAUCCUACAUGACACCGAUCGUGGUAAGUGUUACUUAAGAGCAACAUCUUAUCUUCUUGACUAUCUUAGGGUGGGUAAUACAAUAAGUAAGUGAUGUCUGACGAGAUUUGACUGCAUCAUUUGUCACCACCAUGCCAAAAUCAUUAGACAUCACUACG